rnacentral:rRNA from 1 species
CCAGACUCCUACGGGAGGCAGCAGUGGGGAAUAUUGCACAAUGGGGGGAACCCUGAUGCAGCGACGCCGCGUGGGUGAAGGAGCACCUCGGUGCGUAAAGCCCUAUCGGCAGGGAAGAAAAGCGAACAGGUUCGCCUGGACGGUACCUGACUAAGAAGCCCCGGCUAACUACGUGCCAGCAGCCGCGGUAAUACGUAGGGGGCAAGCGUUAUCCGGAUUUACUGGGUGUAAAGGGAGCGUAGACGGCGAAGAAAGUCUGAAGUGAAAGCCCGCGGCUCAACCGCGGAAGGGCUUUGGAAACUUUUUUGCUGGAGUACCGGAGAGGUAGGCGGAAUUCCUAGUGUGGCGGUGAAAUGCGUAGAUAUUAGGAGGAGCACCAGUGGCGAAGGCGGCCUGCUGGGCUGUGACUGACGUUGAGGCCCGAAGGCGUGGGGAGCAAACAGGAUUAGAUACCCUGGUAAUA